GAUGAAGAACGCAGCGAAAUGCUAUAAGUAAUGUGAAUUGCAGAAUUCAGUGAAUCAUCGAAUCUUUGAACGCACAUUGCGCCCGCUAGUAUUCUGGCGGGCAUGCCUGUCCGAGCGUCAUUUCAACCCUCAAGCCCCCGGGCUUGGUGUUGGGGAUCGGCGAGCCUCCGCGCCCGCCGUCCCCUAAAUCUAGUGGCGGUCUCGCUGUAGCUUCCUCUGCGUAGUAGCACACCUCGCACUGGGAAACAGCGCGGCCACGCCGUUAAACCCCCAACUUCUGAACGUUUGACCUCGGAUCAGGUAGGAAUACCCGCUGAACUUAAGCAUAUCAAUAAGCGGAGGA
rnacentral:misc_RNA from 1 species